rnacentral:rRNA from 1 species
GGAUUAGAUACCCGGGUAGUCCAUGCCGUAAACGUUGGGCGCUAGAUGUGGGGACCAUUCCACGGUUUCCGUGUCGCAGCUAACGCAUUAAGCGCCCCGCCUGGGGAGUACGGCCGCAAGGCUAAAACUCAAAGGAAUUGACGGGGGCCCGCACAAGCGGCGGAGCAUGCGGAUUAAUUCGAUGCAACGCGAAGAACCUUACCAAGGCUUGACAUUUACGAGAACGCGGCAGAAAUGUCGAACUCUUUGGACACUCGUAAACAGGUGGUGCAUGGUUGUCGUCAGCUCGUGUCGUGAGAUGUUGGGUUAAGUCCCGCAACGAGCGCAACCCUCGUUCUAUGUUGCCAGCGCGUUAUGGCGGGAACUCAUAGGAGACUGCCGGGGUCAACUCGGA